AGUGAACGCUGGCGGUAGGCCUAACACAUGCAAGUCGAACGGCAGCACAGGAGAGCUUGCUCUCUGGGUGGCGAGUGGCGGACGGGUGAGGAAUACAUCGGAAUCUACUCUGUCGUGGGGGAUAACGUAGGGAAACUUACGCUAAUACCGCAUACGACCUACGGGUGAAAGCAGGGGAUCUUCGGACCUUGCGCGAUUGAAUGAGCCGAUGUCGGAUUAGCUAGUUGGCGGGGUAAAGGCCCACUAAGGCGACGAUCCGUAGCUGGUCUGAGAGGAUGAUCAGCCACACGGUAACUGAGACACGGUCCAGACUCCUACGGGAGGCAGCAGUGGGGAAUAUUGGACAAUGGGCGCAAGCCUGGUCCAGCCAUACCGCGUGGGUGAAGAAGGCCUUCGGGUUGUAAAGCCCUUUUGUUGGGAAAGAAAUCCAGCUGGCUAAUACCCGGUUGGGAUGACGGUACCCAAAGAAUAAGCACCGGCUAACUUCGUGCCAGCAGCCGCCGUAA
rnacentral:rRNA from 1 species